UAGGGAAUCUUCCGCAAUGGACGCAAGUCUGACGGGGCAACGCCGCGUGAGUGAAGAAGGAUUUCGGUUCGUAAAACUCUGUUGUUAGAGAAGAACAGCGCAUAGAGUAACUGUUAUGCGUGUGACGGUAUCUAACCAGAAAGCCACGGCUAACUACGUGCCAGCAGCCGCGGUAAUACGUAGGUGGCAAGCGUUGUCCGGAUUUAUUGGGCGUAAAGCGAGCGCAGGCGGUCAAUUAAGUCUGAUGUGAAAGCCCCCGGCUCAACCGGGGAGGGUCAUUGGAAACUGGUUGACUUGAGUGCAGAAGAGGAGAGUGGAAUUCCAUGUGUAGCGGUGAAAUGCGUAGAUAUAUGGAGGAACACCAGUGGCGAAGGCGACUCUCUGGUCUGUAACUGACGCUGAGGCUCGAAAGCGUGGGUAGCAAACAGG
rnacentral:rRNA from 1 species